UCAAGCAAUAAGGGCACAGGGCGGAUGCCUUGGCACUAAGAGCCGAUGAAAGACGUGAUAAGCUGCGAUAAGCUUCGGGGAGGAGCAAAUAUCCAUUGAUCCGGAGAUGUCUGAAUGGGGAAACCCACAUGAGCAAACCUCAUGUAUCCUACAGCCAAUACAUAACUGUAGGAAGGGAACCCGGGGAACUGAAACAUCUAAGUACCCGGAGGAAAAGAAAGAAAACUCGAUUCCGUAAGUAGCGGCGAGCGAACGCGGAGGAGCCUAAACCGGAAUGCGUGCAUUCCGGGGUUACGGACUGCAUUUAAGAUUCUUUGAAGCUAACAGAACGGUUUUGGGAAAGCCGGCCGGAGAGGGUGAAAGCCCCGUACGUGAAAGCUGAUGAGACUGAGCAGGAUCCAGAGUACCACGAGACACGUGGAACCUUGUGGGAAAUCAGGGGGACCACCCCCUAAGGCUAAAUACUACUUAGUGACCGAUAGCGCAUAGUACUGUGAAGGAAAGGUGAAAAGGACCCCGGGAGGGGAGUGAAAGAGAACCUGAAACCCUGUGUCUACAAGCUGUGGAAGCACUUUAUAUGUGCGACCGCGUACUUUUUGUAGAACGGUCCGGCGAGUUACGCUUACUGGCAAGGUUAAGCACUUCAGGUGCGGAGCCGUAGGGAAACCAAGUCUUAAUAGGGCCUUAAGUCAGUAGGAGUAGACCCGAAACCGGGUGAUCUAUCCAUGUCCAGGUUGAAGCUGCCGUAAGAGGUAGUGGAGGACCGAACCCACAUCCGUUGAAAAGGGUGGGGAUGAGGUGUGGAUAGGGGAGAAAUUCCAAUCGAACCCGGAGAUAGCUGGUUCUCCUCGAAAUAGCUUUAGGGCUAGCCUCGAUACAGAUUUGCGGAGGUAGAGCACUGAAUUUCCUAGGGGGCGUCAAAGCCUACCGAAGAAUAUCAAACUCCGAAUGCCGCGUAAUCGAUUAUCGGGAGUCAGACUGCACGAGAUAAGUUGGGCGGUCAAAAGGGAAAGAGCCCAGACCUUCAGUUAAGGUCCCCAAGUGCGCGUUAAGUGGAAAAGGAUGUGGGAUUUCGAAGACAACCAGGAUGUUGGCUCAGAAGCAGCCAUCCAUUCAAAGAGUGCGUAAUAGCUCACUGGUCGAGAGGUCCUGCGCCGAAAAUGUCCGGGGCUGAAACGCGCCACCGAAACUAAGGAACCGAAAGGUUGGUAGAGGAGCAUUGCAUGCGGGAAGAAGCAGUACCGUAAGGAGCUGUGGACUGCAUGGAAGAGAGAAUGCCGGAAUGAGUAGCGAGAAUAAGGUGAGAAUCCUUAUGGCCGAAUAUCCAAGGUUUCCAGAGUAAAGCUGAUCUGCUCUGGGUAAGUCGGGGCCUAAGGCGAGGACGAGAGUCGUAGCCGAUGGACAACAGGUGGAGAUUCCUGUACUGCGGUAUGACAGAACUGUGGGGACACGUAAGGAAAGCGGAAGCCGGGAAUGGAAAGCCCGGUGCAAGCGGGGUACCAGUCACUUUGGCAAAUCCGGGUGGCAAUGGGAAGCCGUGAUGCGGAGCGAAAUAAAGUAGCGAAGUCCGUGAGCCAUGCGUCAAGAAAAGCCGCUAUUGUUUAUACCGUACCCGUACCGUAAACCGACACAGGUGGAUGAGGAGAGAAUCCUAAGGCCGGCGGAAGAAGCAUUGUCAAGGAACUCGGCAAAAUGGCCCCGUAACUUAGGGAUAAGGGGUGCCUGGGAAACCAGGCCGCAGAGAAUAGGCUCAAGCAACUGUUUAGCAAAAACACAGGUCUAUGCGAAACCGAAAGGUGAGGUAUAUGGGCUGACGCCUGCCCGGUGCUGGAAGGUUAAGAGGAGAGGUUAGCGCAAGCGAAGCUUUGAAUUUAAGCCCCAGUAAACGGCGGCCGUAACUAUAACGGUCCUAAGGUAGCGAAAUUCCUUGUCGGGUAAGUUCCGACC
rnacentral:rRNA from 1 species